AUGCAGUGUACCCGCGGCAAGACGGAAAGACCCCGUGAACCUUUACUAUAGCUUGACACUGAACAUUGAGCCUUGAUGUGUAGGAUAGGUGGGAGGCUUAGAAGUGUGGACGCCAGUCUGCAUGGAGCCGACCUUGAAAUACCACCCUUUAAUGUUUGAUGUUCUAACGUUGACCCGUAAUCCGGGUUGCGGACAGUGUCUGGUGGGUAGUUUGACUGGGGCGGUCUCCUCCUAAAGAGUAACGGAGGAGCACGAAGGUUGGCUAAUCCUGGUCGGACAUCAGGAGGUUAGUGCAAUGGCAUAAGCCAGCUUGACUGCGAGCGUGACGGCGCGAGCAGGUGCGAAAGCAGGUCAUAGUGAUCCGGUGGUUCUGAAUGGAAGGGCCAUCGCUCAACGGAUAAAAGGUACUCCGGGGAUAACAGGCUGAUACCGCCCAAGAGUUCAUAUCGACGGCGGUGUUUGGCACCUCGAUGUCGGCUCAUCACAUCCUGGGGCUGAAGUAGGUCCCAAGGGUAUGGCUGUUCGCCAUUUAAAGUGGUACGCGAGCUGGGUUUAGAACGUCGUGAGACAGUUCGGUCCCUAUCUGCCGUGGGCGCUGGAGAACUGAGGGGGG
rnacentral:rRNA from 1 species